rnacentral:rRNA from 1 species
AUGGCUCUCACCAGAAUUGGUCUUGCCGGCCUCGCCGUCAUGGGCCAGAACCUUGCCCUCAACAUUGCAGAGAAAGGGUUCCCCAUCUCUGUCUACAACAGGACCACCUCCAAGGUCGAUGAGACUGUUCAGCGCGCCAAGCUAGAAGGAAACCUUCCUCUCUACGGUUUCCAUGACCCUGCAUCCUUCGUCAACUCCAUUCAGAAACCACGUGUCGUCAUCAUGCUUGUCAAGGCCGGUGCUCCUGUUGACCAGACCAUCGCAACGCUCGCAGCACACCUGGAGCAGGGCGACUGCAUCGUUGAUGGAGGAAACGAGUGGUACGAGAACACGGAAAGGAGGGAGAAGGCGAUGGAGGAGCGUGGACUCCUCUACCUCGGGAUGGGUGUUUCCGGAGGAGAGGAGGGUGCCCGCCAUGGCCCCUCCAUGAUGCCUGGAGGCUCAUUGGAGGCAUACCAGUACAUUGAAGACAUUCUUCUCAAGGUGUCUGCUCAGGUCCCUGACAGCGGCCCGUGCGUCACAUACAUUGGGAAGGGUGGAUCCGGAAACUUUGUCAAGAUGGUUCACAAUGGCAUUGAGUACGGUGACAUGCAACUCAUUGCUGAGGCGUACGACGUUCUCAAGUCGGUUGGGAAGCUCACAAACGGUGAGCUGCAGCAGGUUUUCGCGGAGUGGAACAAGGGUGAACUCCUCAGUUUCUUGGUUGAGAUCACUGCUGAUAUCUUCAGCAUCAAGGAUGACCAGGGUGAGGGCUACUUGGUCGACAAGGUCCUGGACAAGACCGGGAUGAAGGGAACCGGGAAGUGGACAGUGCAGCAAGCUGCUGAGCUCUCUGUGGCUGCUCCUACCAUUGAGGCGUCCUUGGAUUCCAGGUUCCUCAGCGGGCUGAAGGAUGAGCGUGUCGCGGCUUCCAAGAUCUUCCAGGGUGACUACUCCAGUGGUGAAACUGUCGACAAGGCACAGCUGAUCGAGGAUGUGAGGAAGGCCCUCUACGCCUCCAAGAUCUGCAGCUACGCCCAAGGCAUGAACAUCAUCAAGGCCAAGAGCACGGAGAAGGGAUGGGGCCUCAAUCUCGGCGAGCUGGCCAGGAUCUGGAAGGGCGGGUGCAUCAUCCGCGCCAGCUUCCUGGACCGCAUCAAGAAGGCGUAUGACAGGAACGGUGAGCUCGCCAACCUUCUCAUCGACCCCGAGUUCGCGCAGGAGAUCAUGGACAGGCAAGCUGCAUGGAGGAGGGUUGUCUGCCUCGCCAUCAACAACGGCGUCAGCACCCCUGGCAUGUCCGCGAGUCUGGCCUACUUCGACUCCUACCGGAGGGACAGGCUCCCUGCCAACCUCGUCCAGGCCCAGAGGGACUACUUCGGGGCGCACACCUACGAGAGGGUUGACAUGCCCGGCUCCUUCCACACCGAGUGGUACAAGAUUGCCAACUCAAAGAUCUAA